rnacentral:rRNA from 1 species
UAGUCCACGCCCUAAACGAUGCUAACUCGAUAUUUGGAUCUUGAAUCUGAGUGUCUAAGCGAAAGUGAUAAGUGUCCCACCUGGGGAGUACGAUCGCAAGAUUGAAACUCAAAGGAAUUGACGGGGGCCCGCACAAGCGGUGGAGCAUGUGGUUUAAUUCGAUGAUACGCGAGGAACCUUACCAGGGCUUAAAUGUAGUAUGACAGGUUUAGAGAUAGACUUUUCUUCGGACAUAUUACAAGGUGCUGCAUGGUUGUCGUCAGCUCGUGCCGUGAGGUGUCAGGUUAAGUCCUAUAACGAGCGCAACCCUUGUCGUUAGUUGCCAGCAUGUAAAGAUGGGACUCUAACGAGACUGCCGGUGCAAACCGAGAGGAAGGUGGGGAUGACGUCAAAUCAUCACGGCCCUUACGUCCUGGGCCACACACGUGCUACAAUGGUAUGGACAAUGAGCAGCCAUCUGGCAACAGAGAGCGAAUCUAUAAACCAUAU